AGCCCUUCACUGGAAACCACAGAUCUCCUCCAGCAGCAGCCCCUGACUCUGCUGAUUUGCAUCACAGGCCGCUCUCUCCAGCAGGGGGAUAAGAGGCCUGGGAGGAACCUGCCCAGCCUGGGCCUCAGGAGGCAGCAUUGGCGGUGUCUCAGCCAUGGCCUGGAUUCUUCUCCUCCUCGGCCUCCUUGCUCACUGCACAGGCUUUGCGGCCUCCUAUGAGCUGACUCAGCCACGCUCAGUGUCCGUGUCCCCAGGACAGACGGCCAGGAUCACCUGUGGGGGAGACAACAUUGGAAGUAAAAAUGUGUACUGGUACCAGCAGAAGCCAGCGCAGGCCCCUGUGCUGGUCAUCUAUGAUGAUAGCGAACGGCCCUCAGGGAUCCCUGAGCGAUUCUCUGGCUCCAACUCAGGGAACACUGCCACCCUGACCAUCAGUGGAGUCGAGGCCGGGGAUGAGGCCGACUAUUACUGUCAGGUGUGGGACAGUAGUAGUGAUCAUCCCACAGUGACACAGGCAGAUGGGGAAGUGACACAAAAACACCCUGCCAGCCUCUGUCACUCUCUUGCUGCAGCCCCAGGAGGAUAA